AAAAGUGGAAAAGAGUGUUAUUCGUCAAAAAACCCACACAACGACGGUCAUUUUUUCGCCGUGCUAUUGUAAAAUUGUCUUUUAUCUGUGUUUUGUGAAGCCGUGGAGCUCGAGAUCCUGUUUACUGUGGACUAGCUGUGUGUGACGCCAUGUUGUUUUUGUUUCCAUUACAAAAAAAAAGCUCCACCGUCUCGCCGAGUGCCAGCAAGAGUCAUGAGUACUUGUCAACUCGACUCCUCAACUGGAGAUAACUUUCUAGCACCUCACCAUGGGGAAGGAUGUAUUCAUAUGCCUUCACCAGCACCUGCAUUAAACAUGCAGAGAGUUACACAAGUUCUUACCACCUUGGGGCACCAUUCAGGGUGCCUUUUCAUCUGAUUAAAUUUAUAAUGAACAGGGACAUUGCGGUUGUCCCAAGUGGAUGGUAUGAUGAUAGGAUGGUUUUCUGGCCCAGCUAUAAAAACACCGACAGAAUUGAAAGGGCAGCUUUAAAUGAGGAGCAGCAUGAGCCAAACUGGCCAAGAUUUGACGUUUCUGUUGUCCGAACUUGUGGUAUGCAAAUUCAUAAUCUUCUUGUUUAAAAAUAACGUCAUAGUUGCUUCUCUUUAUGCUUGGAAUAACCUAUUGUGUCUAUGUUCUG